UUUCGGGAGUAAAGUUUUGUUUAAACCGAAAAAAUAUUGACUGACUUUAGAUUUUUCUUUGGAAUAUGUGAUUUUGUUGGAGAGCCCUCUUUUUUGGUAAAUUUUGUUGGCACAUGUAUGAUUGUUUAGUUUUUAUUUUAUUUUGUAAUGCUUUUUUUGUUUUGGCAUUUAAAACAGAUAUAUAUUUGGUUUAUAAAUUUAUUUUUCAUGUGUUACUAUUAUAAAUUUUUUUUGGAUUAAUUUUUUAUUUUUUUUUGAAAUUGGAAAAGAAAGUAAUUUUUUCUUCAUGUUUUAAUGAAUUUAAUAAAUAAGGUGGUACAA
rnacentral:rRNA from 1 species